UUCCGGUUGAUCCUGCCGGACCCCACUGCUAUCGAGAUGGGACUAAGGUAUGCUAGUCGAACGACCAGAACUAUGUCUGGAAGUGGCACACUGCUCAGUAACACGUAGCUAACCUGCCCUUAGGACGUGGAUACCCCCGAAAAAUUGGGGUUAAUCCGCGAUAGGUGUAAUGUCCUGGAAUGGUAUUACGCCUAAAGGUGUAUCAUACAUGUUUGAUAUACGCCUAAGGAUGGGGCUGCGGCCGAUCAGGCUGUUGGUGAGGUAAUGGCUCACCAAACCUUUGACCGGUACGGGCCAUGAGAGUGGUAGCCCGGAGAUGGACACUGAGACAAGGGUCCAGGCCCUAAGGGGCGCAGCAACCGCGAAACCUCCACAAUGCACUCACGUGCGAUGGGGCUAUCUCGAGUGCCACCUGAUGAAGGUGGCUUUUCCUAGGUCUUCAAAGCCUUGGGAAUAAGAGGGGGGCAAGACUGGUGUCAGCCGCCGCGGUAACACCAGCCCCUCGAGUGGCGGGGAUGAUUAUUUGGCCUAAAGCGUCCGUAGCCGGCCGGGUAAGUUUCCCGUUAAAUCCAGCGUCUCAAGCGUUGGACUGCGGGAAAUACUGCCUGGCUAGAGAGUGGGAGAGGUCAGCGGUAUUCUGGGGGUAGGGGCGAAAUCCUUUGAUCCCCGGAGGACCACCAGUGGCGAAGGCUGCUGACUAGAACACGUCUGACGGUCAGGGACGAAAGCUGGGGUAGCGAACCGGAUUAGAUACCCGGGUAGUCCCAGCCGUAAACGAUGCAUGCUAGGUGUUGGGUUGG
rnacentral:rRNA from 1 species